GUAGCUCAGUUGGUACAGCGUGAGGCUCUUAAUCUGAGGGCCGUGGGUUCGAGCCCCACAUUGCA